GGUCGUAUGUGCGGCGUGCUACGAGCGUCGCGUUUGCUUGAUCGUGUGUUUUUGUGUUUGCUGUUAUGAAGUAGGUCGCAGUUAGCGUGCACAGAAGUGCCUGAAAAUACCUUGUGUCAUGCUGCAAACUCGCCGUAUGCGUGGCGCGCCAGGCAAAUGUGGCCCAACGAUUUUAUGCCGUGGAGUGCGGCCUCUUUGUUCUCGUUCUGGAAAGUUGGGUGGACGUCGCAAAGAAAUAAUGUGUGUUAGCGCGCCUCAGCUCGUCCACUACGCAGCGGCAUGUAUGCGGGGAGUAACAUCGUCGACGCAGCACCGGCAACUUGGAGAGUGCUUCGCGACCGCGUCGUACCAUUCAAAAGUGGCGAGGCUGUGACCCAUAACAGUGCCUACAUAACGGAGGAGCCACCAGACCCCUUGGCUAUGCCUGCCAUAGUGCAACGUGUAAUCUGGAUGGUCGGGUCAGGUACACCUAGGAAAUGUUGUAUACAUUGGCAACGAUAACUGGGGCCUGCUCCAGUGCCAUCGCCGGGAUUCCCUGUUCUGCAAAGAACUGGCAUAACUGAUGUGGGGAGCCCUGGCGCUCGGCGUAAGAGCGUCACAGGGGCUCCUUGUCGGUGCUUGAAGGACGGAAAUGCUGUUGAGAAGCCGACAUUGAG